rnacentral:rRNA from 1 species
AGAGUUUGAUCCUGGCUCAGAAUCAACGCUGGCGGCGUGCCUAACACAUGCAAGUCGAACGAGAAAGUGGAGCAAUCCAUGAGUAAAGUGGCGACCGGGUGAGUAACACGUGACUAACCUACCUUUUAGUGGGGGAUAACCCCGGGAAACCGGGGCUAAUACCGCAUAACAUCGCAAGAUCAAAGCAGCAAUGCGCUGGAAGAGGGGGUCGCGGCUGAUUAGCUAGUUGGCGGGGUAACGGCCCACCAAGGCGAAGAUCGGUAUCCGGCCUGAGAGGGCGCACGGACACACUGGAACUGAAACACGGUCCAGACUCCUACGGGAGGCAGCAGUGGGGAAUUUUGCGCAAUGGGGGAAACCCUGACGCAGCAACGCCGCGUGGAGGAUGAAGCCCCUUGGGGCGUAAACUCCUUUC